AAAAAGAUAAGCUAACAUUCAAGCUAAUGGGUUCAUACCCCAUAUAUAGAGGACGACCUCUUCUUUUUA
rnacentral:tRNA from 1 species